rnacentral:tRNA from 1 species
GGUAGAUAGCUCAGUGGUAGAGCACUUGCCUAGCACGUGUGAGGCACUGGGUUCAAUCCUCAGCACCA